GGCCCAGAUAACAGAAGGGAACAGACUGCUCUCUGCUGGAUCAAGGGAAAACUGUGACAUGCUGCACCCUUCAUCAGCAUCUGAGAGCGCCCUGGACAGUGCCUGCUGUGUCAGCACCACAGCCCCAGCCAUCAUCAUUAGAUGCAGCCAGCCAUGACACCACUGACUGCCAGCAGCACCAGCUCAUUCCCAGACUGGAUGCCCACCUGCCAUGCCCCACCACCUGGUGACACCACCUACAGCUGCACAUCAUCGCCAACCACUGUGACUGUGUGGAGCCACCAGUCAUGCCAGCCCCAUCCAUGUGAGCCUGUAGCUGCACAUGGUAGAGAGGCCACUCUUGGCAGCUGGGAUGCAGCCUUGGAGUCACUGCUGCCCACAGCCAGGGCCCCAAAGAUGCUCUAGCUCCAGCAAAGGAAGACCCUGGACAGGACCCUCCUCCUGGACUUCAUGUUUAUGGCAUCAGAGGACCAUCUGGCAGACACUUGGGCCCAGCAGGUAGAGAUGUGACUUUCCAGGACAGGUGGUGAAUGGAGGAAGUCACCUGUGAGGAGGCAUGGGACCAGCGUGAGGAGACAUGGGAUCAGCACAAGGAGGCAUGGGACUGGGUGGACAGAGUUCUGGGCAUAGCUCCUGAUCCUGAAGCAUGAGCUGGUGGAGGUGCUGUGGGAGCAGAAUGCCAUCCUGGCCGAGGCAGUGCAGGGCAUGGAUGACAACUGCUGGGUCCUGGACACCAAUUUGGCCCUGGCAUUCACCUUCAUGCUAUCCCCUGGCAGCCACCCACCACCCAGUAGCAUGCCCCUACUUGGGCCUUGGAGGAGGUCCUACAAUGCCACCAGGAGUCCCUGCCCUGGGUCCAGUGCCAACCAGCCCUUCUGCUUUUCCUGGUUUCAUGUGGGCAUGGAGCUGGAACUGCCUGCAGUAGGACCAGGACCCACACGUUGGCCCUGCUGGCCCUGGAUACUGGCUGCUGGAGGGGGAGCAACCCACACCAGAGGACCACCAUUCACCAUUGCCCCUGGGAAAGCCCCCCACUCACUGCACUCACCAUGUUGUGUGAACCCAUGAGGGAGCAGCCAGAGAGCAGUUUGCUAGAUCACGGUCCCUAGGUUCUGCCCCCUAGGUAUGGCAUCACCCUGGAAUGGCAUACAAUGCACUUUGUACAUAGUUUUCACACUGAAGAA